CGCAGCAGGCGCGAAACCUUUGCCAUGCGCGAAAGCGUGACAGGGGAAUUCCGAGUGGUAGGGGGGUUUACCUCCCUAUCUUUUGGCCAAUCCAAACAAUUGGCAGAAUAAGAUCUGGGUAAGACCAGUGCCAGCCGCCGCGGUAAUACUGGCAGAGCAAGUGGUAUCCACGAAUAUUGGGUCUAAAGAGUCCGUAGCGGGCCUGUUAAGUCCACUGUGAAAUCUGGCGGCUCAACCGUCAGGCGUGCAGUGGAUACUGGCAGGCUUGGGAGUGGGGGAGGUCGGGAGUACUCACGGGGUAACGGUAAAAUGUUGUAAUCCUGUGAGGACUACCAGUGGCGAAGGCGCCCGACCAAAACACGUCCGACCGUGAGGGACGAAGGCUAGGAGAACGAAUCGGAUUAGAUACCCGAGUAGCCCUAGCAGUAAAUUAUGCAGACUGUGGUGUUGCGUCGACUUCGAGUCGGCGCAGUGCUGUAGCGUAGGUGUUAAGUCUGCCACCUGGGGAGUACGGCCGCAAGGUUGAAACUUAAAGGAAUUGGCGGGGGAGCACAAGGGCGAAUUCGC
rnacentral:rRNA from 1 species